AUACAGAGGGUGCAAGCGUUAUUCGGAAUUACUGGGCGUAAAGCGCGCGUAGGCGGAUGAUUAAGUCAGUUGUGAAAGCCCUGGGCUCAACCUAGGAACUGCAUCUGAUACUGGUCGUCUAGAGUUUAAGAGAGGGAAGUGGAAUUCCAGGUGUAGCAGUGAAAUGCGUAGAUAUCUGGAGGAACAUCAGUGGCGAAGGCGACUUCCUGGCUUAAAACUGACGCUGAGGUGCGAAAGCGUGGGUAGCGAACGGGAUUAGAUACCCUAGUAGUCC
rnacentral:rRNA from 1 species